AGGAGAGUUUGAUCCUGGCUCAGGAUGAACGCUGGCGGCGUGCUUAACACAUGCAAGUCGAACGAAGCUCUAUGAACGGAGGAUUCGUCCAAAGUGAUUAGAUGACUUAGUGGCGGACGGGUGAGUAACGCGUGGGGAAUCUGCCCCGUACCGGGGGAUAACACUUAGAAAUAGGUGCUAAUACCGCAUAAGCGCACGGUGUCGCAUGACACAGUGUGAAAAACUCCGGUGGUACGGGAUGAUCCCGCGUCUGAUUAGCCAGUUGGCAGGGUAACGGCCUACCAAAGCGACGAUCAGUAGCCGGCCUGAGAGGGUGAACGGCCACAUUGGGACUGAGACACGGCCCAAACUCCUACGGGAGGCAGCAGUGGGGAAUAUUGCACAAUGGGGGAAACCCUGAUGCAGCGACGCCGCGUGAGUGAAGAAGUAUCUCGGUAUGUAAAGCUCUAUCAGCAGGGAAGAAAAUGACGGUACCUGACUAAGAAGCCCCGGCUAACUACGUGCCAGCAGCCGCGGUAAUACGUAGGGGGCAAGCGUUAUCCGGAUUUACUGGGUGUAAAGGGUGCGUAGACGGUGUGACAAGUCUGAAGUGAAAUGCAUGGGCUCAACUCAUGAACUGCUUUGGAAACUGCCACACUGGAGUACAGGAGGGGUAAGCGGAAUUCCUGGUGUAGCGGUGAAAUGCUUAGAUAUCAGGAGGAACACCGGCGGCGAAGGCGGCUUACUGGACUGUAACUGACGUUGAGGCACGAAAGCGUGGGGAGCAAACAGGAUUAGAUACCCUGGUAGUCCCCU
rnacentral:rRNA from 1 species